rnacentral:rRNA from 1 species
AUGUUUGAUGUUCUAACGUGGAUCCGUAAUCCGGGUUGCGGACAGUGUCUGGUGGGUAGUUUGACUGGGGCGGUCUCCUCCUAAAGAGUAACGGAGGAGCACGAAGGUUGGCUAAUCCUGGUCGGACAUCAGGAGGUUAGUGCAAUGGCAUAAGCCAGCUUGACUGCGAGCGUGACGGCGCGAGCAGGUGCGAAAGCAGGUCAUAGUGAUCCGGUGGUUCUGAAUGGAAGGGCCAUCGCUCAACGGAUAAAAGGUACUCCGGGGAUAACAGGCUGAUACCGCCCAAGAGUUCAUAUCGACGGCGGUGUUUGGCACCUCGAUGUCGGCUCAUCACAUCCUGGGGCUGAAGUAGGUCCCAAGGGUAUGGCUGUUCGCCAUUUAAAGUGGUACGCGAGCUGGGUUUAGAACGUCGUGAGACAGUUCGGUCCCUAUCUGCCGUGGGCGCUGGAGAACUGAGGGGGGCUGCUCCUAGUACGAGAGGACCGGAGUGGACGCAUCACUGGUGUUCGGGUUGUCAUGCCAAUGGCACUGCCCGGUAGCUAAAUGCGGAAGAGAUAAGUGCUGAAAGCAUCUAAGCACGAAACUUGCCCCGAG